AACGAACGCUGGCGGCAUGCCUAACACAUGCAAGUCGAACGAGACCUUCGGGUCUAGUGGCGCACGGGUGCGUAACGCGUGGGAAUCUGCCCUUGGGUUCGGAAUAACAGUUAGAAAUGACUGCUAAUACCGGAUGAUGACUUCGGUCCAAAGAUUUAUCGCCCAGGGAUGAGCCCGCGUCGGAUUAGCUAGUUGGUGAGGUAAAAGCUCACCAAGGCGACGAUCCGUAGCUGGUCUGAGAGGAUGAUCAGCCACACUGGGACUGAGACACGGUCCAGACUCCUACGGGAGGCAGCAGUGGGGAAUAUUGGACAAUGGGCGAAAGCCUGAUCCAGCAAUGCCGCGUGAGUGAUGAAGGCCUUAGGGUUGUAAAGCUCUUUUACCCGGGAUGAUAAUGACAGUACCGGGAGAAUAAGCCCCGGCUAACUCCGUGCCAGCAGCCGCAGUAACAC
rnacentral:rRNA from 1 species